GAUGAACGCUGGCGGCGUGCCUAAUACAUGCAAGUAGAACGCUGAAGGAGGAGCUUGCUCUUCUGGAUGAGUUGCGAACGGGUGAGUAACGCGUAGGUAACCUGCCUGGUAGCGGGGGAUAACUAUUGGAAACGAUAGCUAAUACCGCAUGACAACAGUUAUUGCAUGAUAACUGUUUAAAAGGGGCAACUGCUCCACUACCAGAUGGACCUGCGUUGUAUUAGCUAGUUGGUGAGGUAACGGCUCACCAAGGCGACGAUACAUAGCCGACCUGAGAGGGUGAUAGGAAAAAAUGGGAAGGAGACACGGGCAAGACGGAUACGGGAUGGAGAAGGAGGGAAGAGUAGGCAAGGGAAGGAAGUCUGAAAGAGCAACGCCGAGGGAGUGAAGAAGGUGUUAGGAGCGUAAAGAUCUGUUGUAAGAGAAGAAAGAGAGAGAGAGUGGAAAGUUCACACUGUGACGGUAGCUUAUCAGAAAGGGAAGGAUAACUACGGG
rnacentral:rRNA from 1 species